CCUACGGGUGGCAGCAGUGAGGAAUAUUGGUCAAUGGGCGCGAGCCUGAACCAGCCAAGUAGCGUGAAGGAUGACUGCCCUACGGGUUGUAAACUUCUUUUAUAAAGGAAUAAAGUGAGGCACGUGUGCCUUUUUGUAUGUACUUUAUGAAUAAGGAUCGGCUAACUCCGUGCCAGCAGCCGCGGUAAUACGGAGGAUACGAGCGUUAUUCGGAUGGAUUGGGUUUAAUGGGAGCGAAGAUGGGUUGGUAAGUCAGUUGUGAAAGUUUGCGGCUCAACCGUAAAAGUGCAAUUGAUACUGGAAGCCUUGAGUACAGUUGAGGUAGGCGGAAUUCGUGGUGUAGCGGUGAAAUGCUUAGAUAUCACGAAGAACUCCGAUUGCGAAGGCAGCCUACUAAACUGCCACUGACAUUGAUGCUCGAAAGUGUGGGUAUCAAACAGGAUUAGAUACCCCUGUAGUC
rnacentral:rRNA from 1 species